GAACUACUCCAUCCGUUCCAAAUUACUCGUCGCCGAAAUGGAUGUAUCUAGAACAAAAAUACAUCUAGAUACAUCCAUAUGUGUGACAAGUAAUUCGGAAAGGAGGGAGUAGUCG
rnacentral:pre_miRNA from 1 species